GGAUCUAAAAUAUCUUCUCCUUAUAAAUCUAUGCUCCAAAAAUCAGAUCUCUAUCUGAUAUGGAAGUGCUUCAGAACUCCUUCUGAAGUUGGAGCAGUAGCCUUUCGAAGAUGUCCUGCAGCCUUCCUGUUCCAGGCAUCACCAUGCCUUUUCCUUGCACCAGAUGAAUAUCCAACUCCUUGGACAUGAAGAGGGGAGAUAGGAGAGCAGGGAGAAUGUGGAGAAGAAGGGAGGGGGUGACAGCUAUGAUGGUUUUUCAUAAAAAUAUAAAACCCUAGGC
rnacentral:lncRNA from 1 species